rnacentral:rRNA from 1 species
CGGGGUGCACCAGGCGCGAAAACUUUACAAUGCUGGCAACAGCGAUAAGGGGACCUCGAGUGCCAGGUUACAAAUCUGGCUGUCAAGAUGCCUAAAAAGCAUUUCAUAGCAAGGGCCGGGCAAGACCGGUGCCAGCCGCCGCGGUAACACCGGCGGCUCGAGUGGUAACCGUUAUUAUUGGGUCUAAAGGGUCUGUAGCCGGCCGGAUAAGUCUCUUGGGAAAUCUGGCAGCUUAACUGUCAGGCUUUCAGGAGAUACUGUCUGGCUCGAGGCCGGGAGAGGUGAGAGGUACUUCAGGGGUAGGGGUGAAAUCUUGUAAUCCUUGAAGGACCACCAGUGGCGAAGGCGUCUCACCAGAACGGACCUGACGGCAAGGGACGAAAGCUAGGGGCACGAACCGGAUUAGAUACCCGGGUAGUCCUAGCCGUAAACGAUACUCGCUAGGUGUCGGCCACGGUGCGACCGUUGUCGGUGCCGUAGGGAAGCCGUGAAGCGAGCCACCUGGGAAGUACGGCCGCAAGGCUGAAACUUAAAGGAAUUGGCGGGGGAGCA